UGGCAAAUGUGUCUUGACUAAUGUGUCUUGGCUAAUGUGUCUUGGCUAAGGUGUCUUGGCUAAUGUGUCUUGGCUAAGGUGUCUUGGCUAAUGUGUCUUGGCUAAGCUGUCUCGGCUAAUGUGUCUUGGCUACUGUGUCUUGGCUAAUGUGUCUUGGCUAAGGUGUCUUGGCUAAUGUGUCUUGGCUAAUGUGUCUUGGCUAAGGUGUCUUGGCUAAUGUGUCUUGGCUAAUGUGUCUUGGCUAAUGUGUCUUGGCUAAUGUGUCUUGUCUAAGGUGUCUUGGCUAAUGUGUCUUGGCUAAGGUGUCUUGGCUAAUGUGUCUUGGCUAAUGUGUCUUGGCUAAGGUGUCUUGGCUAAUGUGUCUUGGCUAAUGUGUCUUGGCUAAUGUGUCUUGGCUAAGGUGUCUUGGCUAAUGUGUCUUGGCUAAUGUGUCUUGGCUAAUGUGUCUUGGCUAAGGUGUCUUGGCUAAUGUGUCUUGGCUAAGGUGUCUUGGCUAAUGUGUCUUGGCUAAGGUGUCUUGGCUAAGGUGUCUUGGCUAAGGUGUCUUGGCUAAUGUGUUUUGGCUAAUGUGUCUUGGCUAAUGUGUCUUGGCUAAGGUGUCUUGGCUAAUGUGUCUUGGCUAAUGUGUCUUGUCUAAGGUGUCUUGGCUAAGGUGUCUUGGCUAAGGUGUCUUGGCUAAUGUGUCUUGGCUGAGGUGUCUUGGCUAAGGUGUCUUGGCUAAUGUGCCUUGGCUAAGGUGUCUUGGCUAAGGUGUCUUGUCUAAUGUGUCUUGGAUAAUGUGUCUUGGCUAAGGUGUCUUGGCUAAUGUGUCUUGGCUUAUGUGUCUCGGCUAAUGUGUCUUGGCUAAUGUGUCUUGGCUAAUGUGUCUUGGCUAAAGUGUCUUGGCUAAGGUGUCUUGGCUAAUGUGUCUUGGCUAAUGUGUCUUGGCUAAUGUGUCUUGGCUAAGGUGUCUUGGCUAAGGUGUCUUGGCUAAGGUGUCUUGGCUAAUGUGUCUUGGCUAAGAUGUCUUGGCUAAGGUGUCUUGGCUAAGGUGUCUUGGCUAAGGUGUCUUGGCUAAUGUGUCUUGGCUAAGGUGUCUUGGCUAAGGUGUCUUGGCUAAUGUGUCUUGGCUAAGGUGUCUUGGCUAAGGUGUCUUGGCUAAUGUGUCUUGGCUAAGGUGUCUUGGCUAAGGUGUCUUGGCUAAUGUGUCUUGGCUAAUGUGUCUUGGCUAAGGUGUCUUGGCUAAUGUGUCUUGGCUAAUGUGUCUUGGCUAAGGUGUCUUGGCUAAGGUGUCUUGGCUAAUGUGUCUUGGCUAAUGUGUCUUG